AACUGGAAGGGAUGGAGGUGGAGGAGGACAAGAAGAGAAGAAAAGCAAGAGGAGAAAAGGAGGAAGGAGCGGCAAGAACAAAAGAGAUGAACCGAGUGGAGAAAGACAAAUGAGAAUAGAAAGAAGAGCGAAAAAGGAAAAACGAUAUUAUAUUUUGUUUACUAAAAAUUCUGAUUGAAUCUGUAAAAUCUGAAAAAAUGGCCUAUUUUUUAUUAAAAGU
rnacentral:lncRNA from 1 species